CCUACGGGUGGCAGCAGUGGGGAAUAUUGCACAAUGGGGGAACCCCUGAUGCAGCGACGCCGCGUGAGUGAAGAAGUAAUUCGGUAUGUAAAGCUCUAUCAGCAGGGAAGAAAAUGACGGUACCUGAGUAAGAAGCCCCGGCUAACUACGUGCCAGCAGCCGCGGUAAUACGUAGGGGGCAAGCGUUAUCCGGAUUUACUGGGUGUAAAGGGAGCGUAGACGGCAGUGCAAGUCUGGAGUGAAAGGCGGGGGCUCAACCCCCGGACUGCUCUGGAAACUGUACGGCUGGAGUGCAGGAGAGGUAAGUGGAAUUCCUAGUGUAGCGGUGAAAUGCGUAGAGAUUAGGAGGAACACCAGUGGCGAAGGCGGCUUACUGGACUGUAACGGACGUUGAGGCUCGAAAGCGUGGGGAGCAAACAGGAUUAGAUACCCCAGUAGUC
rnacentral:rRNA from 1 species